UAGGGCCCUGAGACCUCCCUGUCCGCUCAGGGAAACAUUGCCUCUGACUGCUACGGUGGACAGAUCUCCUCUGACAGCCACGAAGUCUCCCAGCUCAACG
rfam:Methanosarcina sp. MTP4, complete genome.